UUUCAUUAGACUCAAUAAUUUCUUCCAACUUUCAGGUAUUUCCCAUCUCUCCCCUUUUAGUUCUUCUAUUUUUCUCUCUUCCAUAAAAAUAUGUUAAUAUCACAAUAAUUUUUGUUUUUGUUGUGUUGUUUAUUCAAACUCUAUAUUUGUGCAGAUUUUGCUACUUAAACCGGCAUUGCCAUGGGGUGCAUCAUUUUCAGAUGAAGCACAACUUUUAUCUAACUUUCAAACAUGCUACUACAACAAAUACUACCCAUCUUCCCUUGGAAUUUGUUGAGUUACAACCAAUAAUUUAUUCAUUUAAACCAACCCGUCUGCCACUGUCAAUAUAAACCAACCUCUUAGGGUUUUGUAACGUGUUGCCGAACAAGAAGAAGAAGAAAGCCGUCAUGGGGAGAAGUAAGCACUUCCAUCAAACUAUUCUUAAUUUCAUUGUUUCGUCGUUUCUCCACGA
rnacentral:lncRNA from 1 species